CUACGAGUUCCAGUAAAAAACUCCAAUCGUGGUCGUCCCCAUUUCUCCCAAGAUUUAUCUACUCUCUCUCUCUCUAUACAUAUUGUAUUUCACUGAAUAUUCGUUCAUAAACAGGCGUCAAUCCUCUACAAGUUGAUUCUGGCCUCACAUGUUCAGCUGCCUGAAAUCGAUUUCCUGUUCAAUAGUGGCCUAAAGUUUGUGGUUCAAGAAGGAUGUUCCUAUCUGGACGUUUAUCCUAUGUUAGGCUUUCAAGAAGCGAUUAAGUACUAAAGACCAGAUUGUUAACUGGGGGAUGAUUGUAAAUGAGACUUGUCCUCUAUGUUCUCGGGCCAAUGAAUCUCACCAACAUUUGUUCUUUGAUUGCACUUUUUCUAGAGUUGUUUGGGUAAAAGUGUGGGGCAAAUUAUCUCUGCAGUGGGUCUAGUUUUGCAACUCUCGGAUGUGGUGGAAUGGUUUACUCUUGUGUAAAGAAGAAUGAUUUUCGAGGUAGAGCCAUGAAAGGAUCUUUAGCUGCUACUGUAUAUGCAAUCUGGAGGGAAAGGAACUACAGAGCCUUUCAACAAAAGUCUUUGCCAGCAGACCAUGUGGUUCAAAUGACAAUUAAUUCUAUAAGAGAUUUCCUGUGUUCAACAAAGGGGCUCCGCGAAUGUUAGCUAACAGGCUGUUAUGUGUUACCUGGGGCCUCUCUGGAAGAUCUAUUCUCCUUUGAUGGAUCUGUUUUUUGCGGUAGCUAGGUGUGUAGUUGUGUAUAGAGUUUGUUCUUUGUUUUCCUUUGAUGAGUUGUUGCAAGUUAGUUGUAUAGCCAGGGCAAUCUCCCUGGAUUGGCUGGUCAUUGGUUGAGCUUUUAUAAAAGUAGUGUACUUAUCAAGAAAAAAAUACCUUCAUUUCUCUUUUGUUACCCAUGGAAA